GCGGUGGAGCAUGUGGUUUAAUUCGAUGAUACGCGAGGAACCUUACCUGGGCUCGAACGUAAGAUGACUGUAGGUGAAAGCUUACAUCUCUUCGGAGCAUUUUACGAGGUGCUGCAUGGUUGUCGUCAGCUCGUGCCGUGAGGUGUCGGGUUAAGUCCCAUAACGAGCGCAACCCCUACCUUUAGUUGCCAUCAGGUAAUGCUGGGGACUCUAAAGGAACUGCCUACGCAAGUAGUGAGGAAGGCGGGGAUGACGUCAAAUCAGCACGGCCCUUACGUCCAGGGCUACACACGUGCUACAAUGGCCGAUACAGAGGGCAGCUACCUGGUGACAGGAUGCAAAUCUCCAAAGUCGGUCUCAGUUCGGAUCGGAGUCUGCAACCCGACUCCGUGAAGUUGGAUUCGCUAGUAAUCGCGCAUCAGCCAUGGCGCGGUGAAUACGUUCCCGGGCCUU
rnacentral:rRNA from 1 species